AGAUGUGAGGGUGGUCUGGCUGUGACACUUGCCACCCCACUGAUUGUCAGGGUUGACUCCGCUGACCGGGCCGUCUGGGUGGGUGUCCAGGUCCCCCAAAACUGCUCUAAGUGUGUCCCCCACAAGCUGUGUACUCAGUCCAAGAGGAUGACCUUCCUGGCUGGAGGAGGCCUGUUCUUGGGGCAAGGGUGUAGGAGCAGCUGUGCUUCCCUGUUAGAAACUCCAAACAAGCUGUCAAAGACCAUCUGUAGGACGUAGGGCAGUCAACCUUCCAGGACUGCAGACACAGCCAAAUGAAGCACUGCCUGUGGAUGUCUGUCUGUCUUU
rnacentral:snRNA from 1 species